GUGGGGAAUAUUGGACAAUGGGGGGAACCCUGAUCCAGCCAUGGCGCGUGUGUGAAGAAGGCCUUUUGGUUGUAAAGCACUUUAAGCGAGGAGGAGGCUACCGAGAUUAAUACUCUUGGAUAGUGGACGUUACUCGCAGAAUAAGCACCGGCUAACUCUGUGCCAGCAGCCGCGGUAAUACAGAGGGUGCAAGCGUUAAUCGGAUUUACUGGGCGUAAAGCGCGCGUAGGUGGCCAAUUAAGUCAAAUGUGAAAUCCCCGAGCUUAACUUGGGAAUUGCAUUCGAUACUGGUUGGCUAGAGUAUGGGAGAGGAUGGUAGAAUUCCAGGUGUAGCGGUGAAAUGCGUAGAGAUCUGGAGGAAUACCGAUGGCGAAGGCAGCCAUCUGGCCUAAUACUGACACUGAGGUGCGAAAGCAUGGGGAGCAAACAGGAUUAGAUACCCUAGUAGUCC
rnacentral:rRNA from 1 species